AGGACGAACGCUGGCGGCGCGCUUAACACAUGCAAGUCGAGCGAGAACCAGACCUUCGGGUCUGGGGACAGCGGCGAACGGGUGAGUAACACGUGGGUAAUCUGCCCUCGAUUCUGGGAUAGCCCGGGGAAACCCGGAUUAAUACCGGAUAGCCUCUUGAGCUCUCGGGCUCUCGAGAAAAGGUAGCUUCGGCCUCCGAUCGAGGAUGAGCCCGCGGUGGAUUAGCUUGUUGGUGGGGUAAUGGCCUACCAAGGCGACGAUCCAUAGCUGGUCUGAGAGGACGAUCAGCC
rnacentral:rRNA from 1 species